AGCUCGUGUCUUCCUCUGUGAUGAGAGCACCCCGAAUCCUUGGCACCAAUCCUCAGCCCUGAAGUUACCCAGUUGCCUCGAUUUUUUUUUCCCAUGUUGCCCAUUUCUGAUCCAAAAGCCCUUGGCAUUUUUAGGAAGAAUAGCAUCUGUAAACUGGAACGUUUGGCCUCUACUCCCUGCCUUGAAUCUGUUUCCUGAUUGUCAGCUGAGGGUCGCAGCCGCCUAGGGACCUUUUGGUGCAAACUUGCAGAUAUGCAGGUAGUGGCACAUGCUGACUGCUGGGUCUUCACUCUGAGGGUGAUUUUCUAAAAUGGAGCUGUGCUAACAGUGCAGCUUGCCCACCGAAUGAGAAGCCCCAUCUCCCAA
rnacentral:lncRNA from 1 species